UAACGCGUGGGUAACCUGCCUCAUACAGGGGGAUAGCAGCUGGAAACGGCUGAUAAAACCGCAUAAGCGCACAGCAUCGCAUGAUGCAAUGUGAAAAACUCCGGUGGUAUGAGAUGGACCCGCGUCUGAUUAGCUGGUUGGUGAGGUAACGGCCCACCAAGGCGACGAUCAGUAGCCGGCCUGAGAGGGUGACCGGCCACAUUGGGACUGAGACACGGCCCAAACUCCUACGGGAGGCAGCAGUGGGGAAUAUUGCACAAUGGGGGAAACCCUGAUGCAGCGACGCCGCGUGAAGGAAGAAGUAUCUCGGUAUGUAAACUUCUAUCAGCAGGGAAGAUAAUGACGGUACCUGACUAAGAAGCCCCGGCUAACUACGUGCCAGCAGCCGCGGUAAUACGUAGGGGGCAAGCGUUAUCCGGAUUUACUGGGUGUAAAGGGAGCGUAGGCGGCGGAGCAAGUCAGAAGUGAAAGCCCGGAGCUCAACCCCGGGACGGCUUUUGAAACUGCCCUGCUUGAUUUCAGGAGAGGUAAGCGGAAUUCCUAGUGUAGCGGUGAAAUGCGUACAUAUUAGGAGGAACACCAGUGGCGAAGGCGGCUUACUGGACUGACAAUGACGC
rnacentral:rRNA from 1 species